rnacentral:rRNA from 1 species
AUUGAACGCUGGCGGCAUGCUUUACACAUGCAAGUCGGACGGCAGCGGGGUAGUGCUUGCACUACUGCCGGCGAGUGGCGAACGGGUGAGUAAUAUAUUGGAACGUACCGAGUAAUGGGGGAUAACCAAUCGAAAGAUUGGCUAAUACAGCAUACGCUCUGAGGAGGAAAGCAGGGGACCUUCGGGCCUUGCGUUAUUCGAGCGGCCAAUAUCUGAUUAGCUAGUUGGUGGGGUAAGGGCCUACCAAGGCGACGAUCAGUAGCGGGUCUGAGAGGAUGAUCCGCCACACUGGGACUGAGACACGGCCCAGACUCCUACGGGAGGCAGCAGUGGGGAAUUUUGGACAAUGGGCGCAAGCCUGAUCCAGCCAUGCCGCGUGUCUGAAGAAGGCCUUCGGGUUGUAAAGGACUUUUGUUAGGGAAGAAAAAGGAGCGGUUAAUACCCGUUUCUGCUGACGGUACCUAAAGAAUAAGCACCGGCUAACUACGUG